rnacentral:rRNA from 1 species
AUGGCCAACUACUUUGCCCCCGAUGCACUAUUCGCUGAGCAUUUUUGUCGGUGUUUUCGGAUGAGCAAGACUGUCUUCGAUCGUUCGUACAAUGUCAUUCGGUCCUACGAUGACUACUUCAUCCUGAAGAAGGAUGCCGUGGGAACGGUCGGCUUCUCUAGUUACCAUAAGUGCACGGCCACACUCUGGAUGAUUGCAUAUGGAACGGUCGCUGGUUCGUGGGACGAGUACCUAUGGAUGUCUGAGAGCACACGCGAAGAUUCCAUCGUCAGGUUUGCAACUACUGUGAUCGAGGUGUUCGGACCUCAGUACCUGAGAGAACCAACUGUGGCAGGCACCGAGAGGCUCUUGGCAAUCUCAGAAGCAAGAGGGUGCCAGCAACCUCUCCUCUCCUCGUCUCUCUCCUCCGCAUCUUCAUCCGGGGAGCCAUGUGGCUGCAGCAGGAGGGGAGACAAGGAGGCCGCGCCAGCCGAUUUCCUCGCCGGAUCUGGAGUGCAGGGGCGACGCCGGCGAGUAACCGAUCAGGGAGGAGCAUUGGUCGCCGGUGAAGAAAAUAUGGGAGGGAGACGAGAGGAGCACUGA